GAUGAACGCUGGCGGCGUGCAUAACACAUUCAAGUCGAACGGUGAUAGAGACUUCGGUCUCUUGAUCAGUGGCGGACGGGUGAGUAACGCGUGAGCAACCUGCCUUCGAGAGGGGAACAACGGUUAGAAAUGACAGCUAAUACCGCAUAACGCAUAGAGAUCACAUGGUUUGUAUGCCAAAGACUUAUCGCUCGAAGAUGGGCUCGCGUCUAAUUAGAUAGUUGGUGAGGUAACGGCUCACCAAGCCGACGAAUAGUAGCCGGACUGAGAGAUUGAACGGCCACAUUGGAACUGAGGUACGGUCCAGACUCCUACUGGAGGCAGCAGUGGGGAAUAUUGGGCAAUGGGCGCAAGCCUGACCCAGCGACGCCGCGUGAGGGAAGAAGUCCUUCGGGAUGUAAACCUUAGUCGACAGGGACGAAGAAAUGACGGUACCUGUAGAGGAAGCCACGGCUAACUACGUGCCAGCAGCCGCGGUAACAC
rnacentral:rRNA from 1 species